rnacentral:rRNA from 1 species
UACGGGGGGAGCGAGCGUUGCCCGGAAUCACUGGGCGUAAAGGGUGUGUAGGUGGAUUUGUAAGUCAAGCGUGAAAUCUUGCGGCUUAACCGCAAAAUUGCGCUUGAAACUGCAUUUCUUGAGUACAGGAGAGGAGAAUGGAAUUUCAGGUGUAGCGGUGAAAUGCGUAGAUAUCUGAAAGAACACCGGUUGCGAAGGCUAUUCUCUAUCCUACUACUGACACUGUGACACGAAAGCUAGGGGAG